rnacentral:lncRNA from 1 species
CUGGUCCCAAACUCACGGAAUUUACAGCCAAUUAUGAGCAGGCAUUAUUAAUAUUUGUGUUUGGGGGUCAGACCAGAGUUUGGUAGGUUUGUACCCAUCUGUAAGCCAGAAUCCCUGAAUCUCCAUACGCAACUGCAUGGUCUUGUGGAGGCGAGACGUCUGGGGGGAACGAACGGUGACUCCAAGAGCCUGUGUGGGGGUGUCUGUGCAAGGAGGAGCUUGGAAAGUGCUAGAAGUUGUGUGCAGCCUCUUGGGAAGCCCUCCCUCUGAAGAGUUGUGUUGCUGUGGGAAGGAAGCAGCGUGUUGGAAGAGGGCCUUAACGCAGCCGCCUUUCCCAAGAGUUCGGGGAGUCAUUCUGAUGAGCCAUCAGCAGGAACUGAGAAAGCCUGCAGAUAAAUGGAAAUGGAGAGGAGGGCUGUCAAGGAAACGUGUGGUUAACUUUGGAAUUGAAGAGUGCAGAUGUCAACAAAGCAGCUGAUGGAGGAUGGGAGAACCCUGGUAACCGUCAGGCACCACACUCGCGGCUUGGCCUGUAGGAGAUGCAGCACUUCCCUCUACUGGAAGGAGGACCUAACGACAAGGGGUCUUCGACGGGCCCCCCAGAUUGCGCAGCCACAGUACUUCAGAAGGUACUUGAUAUCAAUAUGUGGGCUCUGGAGAGUUAAUAAAAGACUAUAUCAGGCUGCA